rnacentral:rRNA from 1 species
GUUAAAAAGCUCGUAGUUGGAUUUGUGGGCGCGCGGACCGGCCGUGGCCUUUAGUGUCGUGUGCCUGGUUCGUCGCGCUUAUUUUGGCCAAGCAGCUCUGUUGGCAUUAGUUUGUCGACGUGUCUUGCCAGGUCGAGCUUACUUUGAGAAAAUUAGAGUGUUCAAAACAGUCAAUCGAUUGUAUAUCAUAGCAUGGAAUAAUAACUGAUGACCUCGGUCACCUUUUGUUGGGUUCAGAUGGCUGAGUUAAUGAUUGAUAGGGUUAGUCGGAGGUAUUAGUAUUCUGUCGUUAGAGGUGAAAUUCAUGGAUCGGCAGAAGACUGACAACUGCGAAAGCAUUUAUCUAGGAUUUGCUCUUUGAUCAAGAACGAAAGUUGGGGGAUCGAAGACGAUCAGAUACC